CGGAGGAGGAGCCAACGGGUCAAGGGCCACCAGCUGGUUCCGCUUCGGCGGUAAGGAUGCAGAGGGUGCCGGCAUCUAUGGCAGCCAGUCCCGUGACGAUUUUGAUCGGGACGACGUCGAACAGUAUUUCAAUUAUAUGGGAAUGCUUGCAGUCGAGGGUACAUACGAUAAGAUGGAAGCACUUUUGAAUCAGAACAUUCACCCGGUGGAUAUCUUGUUGCUGUUGGCAUCAUCAGAGGGCGAUAUACCGAAAAUCGAGGAGUUGUUGAGAGCUGGUGCAAACUAUACUAUCAAAGAUGCAGAAGGAAG
rnacentral:misc_RNA from 1 species